rnacentral:rRNA from 1 species
UACGUAGGGUGCAAGCGUUAAUCGGAAUACUGGGCGUAAAGCGUGCGCAGGCGGUUAUGUAAGACAGAUGUGAAAUGCCCGGGCUUAACCUGGGAACUGCAUUUGUGACUGCAUGGCUAGAGUUUGGCAGAGGGGGGUAGAAUUCCACGUGUAGCAGUGAAAUGCGUAGAUAUGUGGAGGAACACCGAUGGCGAAGGCAGCCCCCUGGGUCAAGACUGACG